rnacentral:rRNA from 1 species
AAAAGUGAAAGACGGUCUUGCUGUCACUUAUAGAUGGAUCCGCGCUGCAUUAGCUAGUUGGUAAGGUAACGGCUUACCAAGGCAACGAUGCAUAGCCGACCUGAGAGGGUGAUCGGCCACACUGGAACUGAGACACGGUCCAGACUCCUACGGGAGGCAGCAGUAGGGAAUCUUCCGCAAUGGGCGAAAGCCUGACGGAGCAACGCCGCGUGAGUGAUGAAGGUCUUCGGAUCGUAAAACUCUGUUAUUAGGGAAGAACAUAUGUGUAAGUAACUGUGCACAUCUUGACGGUACCUAAUCAGAAAGCCACGGCUAACUACGUGCCAGCAGCCGCGGUAAUACGUAGGUGGCAAGCGUUAUCCGGAAUUAUUGGGCGUAAAGCGCGCGUAGGCGGUUUUUUAAGUCUGAUGUGAAAGCCCACGGCUCAACCGUGGAGGGUCAUUGGAAACUGGAAAACUUGAGUGCAGAAGAGGAAAGUGGAAUUCCAUGUGUAGCGGUGAAAU